UACGUAGGGUGCGAGCGUUAAUCGGAAUUACUGGGCGUAAAGCGUGCGCAGGCGGCUAUUUAAGCUUGCUGUGAAAGCCCCGGGCUUAACCUGGGAAUGGCAGUGAGGACUGGAUGGCUGGAGUGUGGCAGAGGGGGGUGGAAUUCCACGUGUAGCAGUGAAAUGCGUAGAGAUGUGGAGGAACACCGAUGGCGAAGGCAGCCCCCUGGGCUAACACUGACGCUCAGGCACGAAAGCGUGGGGAGCAAACAGG
rnacentral:rRNA from 1 species